GGGUCUGUAAGUCUCGUCAUGUGAUUGCCGAGAUUUAGCGAGAUUAUUAACUUCCGGGUACAUCAACAUCUCAAAUUGCACUGUGUAGAGAGUGGUAUACAUAGAUAUAGCGUUAUCAAUCGAUUAUGUGGAAGUUUAACGAGAUAAACAUGGGAAUUGAAGCAAUAGUGGAGUCGUCGAGGAUUCUUCGCUUCGUGUUUGACGAAUUACGUGUAAUAACUGCCAGUGUACGAUAAAGAGCAGGUUGGUAAAAGCGUAAUGAGAUGUACGAUAUGUUUUUAUAUUCUCAAAUCAUUCCAAUUGAAAAUAUAUCAAUACUUGAAAAGAAAAACGGAUUAUGCAUAAAACUUGCUUUGUGUUUAUACGAAUGUACGAUCGGAAGGGGGGGCAACGAUACUACAUGUACGUACCAGCAGUGUACAGUUGUAUACAUAUUCAAUAAGCAAAGCUCAUUAAUGUGCCUAUCUAUAUCAGUUACAUCACAGAUGGGUUAAGAUUGUUUAAUAUUUGAAAAUUAUUUUAUAGAUAUGCCUUGAAUCUGAGGAUAAAGGUGUUGUGUAUUGUGCAGUCAUCAUUAAUGUGGAUGUCUGAUGCCAGUAUGCCCAUAAUGGGGCAGUCUAAGUGUCGAUCUUCAUAUGGCAGCAAAUUUUCAAAGGCAGAUAUAAGAAGGCAAAUAAAACUGUUCAAGGUAAAAUAGCCAGUAGUUGGAUAAAACAUCCAAAGUCGGCACAGUCAAAGGUCACAACAACAAUGGAGGAAUUAACUGCAUCCUCAUUCCGAAGGUACAGCAGGCCAUUUUCAGCAACCCUGAAAUUCUUAAUUGAGGCUAAGUGCCCAUUUUCAGCUUGAACAAUGACAAUUAAAGAGGCCUGUGCAAAUGUUGGGAUUUCCCUAUUGAAAGUGAUGCAAGGGAUGGUUCGCUGCACCUCAAAACAAAAUUUGAAUAUUGGCAUCAGAUUCAAGGACAACACCACCCGAAAGACACCCAAUGCUGUGAUUUUCUAGUGUGGAUUCCUAGUGACACUCAAAUAAUUCACAUUGACAAAGAUGUAUUAUGGUCAACCUUUUACGCGUGAUAGAGUUUAAUUAUAAUAAUGAAGUAUUUUUGCAGUCUAAAACACACACACAUAACCACAUGUACAUAUACUUUAUUAUGAUAUCAGUGGUGCAUCUAUCAAAGUUAUGUAAUUACAUGUAUAUUUAUUGAAUAAACAUUUAUAGACAGA